UACGAGGGGUGCAAGCGUUGCUCGGAAUUAUUGGGCGUAAAGGGUAGGUAGGUGGUCUCAUUUGUCUGGGGUGAAAGCCUCGAGCUUAACUCGAGAAGUGCCUCGGAAACGGUGAGACUAGAGUCUUGGAGAGGGUCGUGGAAUUCCCGGUGUAGUGGUGAAAUGCGUAGAUAUCGGGAGGAACACCAGGUGGCGAAGGCGGCUUCCUGGCCUGUUCUUGACGCUGAGGCGCGAAAGCUAGGGGAGCAAACGGG
rnacentral:rRNA from 1 species